CACGUAGGGCGCAAGCGUUGUCCGGAAUUAUUGGGCGUAAAGAGCUCGUAGGCGGUCUGUUGCGUCCGCUGUGAAAACUCGGGGCUUAACCCCGAGCCUGCAGUGGAUACGGGCAGACUAGAGGUAGGUAGGGGAGAAUGGAAUUCCCGGUGUAGCGGUGAAAUGCGCAGAUAUCAAGAGGAACACCUGCGGCGAAGGCGGGUUGCUGGGCUGACACUGACGCUGAGGCGCGAAAGCUAGGGGAGCGAACGGG
rnacentral:rRNA from 1 species